rnacentral:rRNA from 1 species
AACGAACGCUGGCGGCAUGCCUAACACAUGCAAGUCGAACGAGACCUUCGGGUCUAGUGGCGCACGGGUGCGUAACGCGUGGGAACCUGCCCUUAGGUUCGGAAUAACUCCCCGAAAGGGGUGCUAAUACCGGAUAAUGUCUUCGGACCUAAGAUUUAUCGCCUUUGGAUGGGCCCGCGUUGGAUUAGCUAGUUGGUAGGGUAAAAGCCUACCAAGGCGACGAUCCAUAGCUGGUCUGAGAGGAUGAUCAGCCACACUGGGACUGAGACACGGCCCAGACUCCUACGGGAGGCAGCAGUGGGGAAUAUUGGACAAUGGGCGAAAGCAUGAUCCAGCAAUGCCGCGUGAGUGAUGAAGGCCUUAGGGUUGUAAAGCUCUUUUACCCGGGAUGAUAAUGACAGUACCGGGAGAAUAAGCUCCGGCUAACUCCGUG